rnacentral:rRNA from 1 species
AUUGAACGCUGGCGGCAGGCCUAACACAUGCAAGUCGAACGAGUGGCGGACGGGUGAGUAAUGUCUGGGAAACUGCCUGAUAGAGGGGGAUAACUUCUGGAACCGGUAGCUACUACCGCAUACCAUCGGAUGUGCCCAGGUGGGAUUAGCUAGUAGGUGGGGUAACGGCUGACCGAGGCGACGAUCCCUAGCUGGUCUGAGAGGAUGACCGGCCACACUGGAACUGAGACACGGUCCAGACUCCUACGGGAGGCAGCAGUGGGGAAUAUUGGGUAAUGGGCGAAAGCCUGAUCCAGCCAUGCCGCGUGUGUGAAGAAGGUCUUCGGGUUGUAAAGUACUUUCAGCGAGGAGGCGUUACCCGCAGAAGAAGCACCGGCUAACUCCGUGCCAGCAGCCGCGGUAAUAC